UCUCCAUUUCAUCCUCGUCAUUAGUUUCCUUCCCAUCCUCAUGUUUCAAACUCCAUAUUGUAUUCCUUCGUCUACGAUGAGAGGCGUAAUUGUGAAAAAAAUUAUAUUUUUAUCCUCUAGCCUCAACAAGUUAACACAAGCUCUCUGUUCCCAAUACAUUUCAUCCUUAUCGAUCUCAAGUUUUAGCUGAACCUUAAUAUCAAUGAUUUUCACAAGAUU
rnacentral:lncRNA from 1 species